rnacentral:rRNA from 1 species
UACGGAGGGGGGUAGCGUUGUUCGGAAUUAUUGGGCGUAAAGCGCAUGUAGGCGGUUUUGUAAGUUAGAGGUGAAAGCCCGGAGCUCAACUUCGGAAUUGCCUUUAAGACUGCAUCACUUGAAGGUCGGAGAGGUGAGUGGAAUUCCGAGUGUAGAGGUGAAAUGCGUAGAUAUUCGGAAGAACACCAGUGGCGAAGGCGGCUCACUGGACGACUGUUGACGCUGAGGUGCGAAAGCGUGGGGAGCAAACAGG